GUCCACGCCGUAACUAUGGAUGCUAGCCGUCGGCAAGCUUGCUUGUCGGUGGCGCAGCUAACGCAUUAAGCAUCCCGCCUGGGAGUACGGCCGCAAGGUUAAACUCAAGGAAUUGACGGGGCCCCGCACAAGCGGUGGAGCAUGUGGUUUAAUUCGACGCAACGCGAAGAACCUUACCAGCUCUUGACAUGUCCGGUCGGUUUCCAGAGAUGGGAUCCUCCUAGCAAUAGGUCGGAACACAGGUGCUGCAUGGCUGUCGU
rnacentral:rRNA from 1 species